GGAGCAGUUGGUAGCUUAGUGGUAGAGUGCCUGCUUUGUGCGUCCUGGGUUCAAAUCCCAGCUGCUCCC